GCUGGGCAUGGUGGCUCAUGCCUGUAAUCCCAGUACUUUGGGAAGCUGAGGUGGGAGGAUCACUUGAGCCCAGGAGUUUGAGGUCAGCCUGGGCAACAUAGUGAGACCCUGUCUCUA
rfam:Homo sapiens chromosome 22, GRCh38 reference primary assembly.